rnacentral:rRNA from 1 species
AAUAGCGGCUGCACCAUUAGGGUGUCCUGAUCCAACAUCGAGGUCGUAAACCCCCUCGUUGAUAAGGGCUCUGGGAGGGGAUUGCGCUGUUAUCCCUAGGGUAACUCGGUCCGUUGAUCGGCAUUGCCGGCUCUUUUGGUGGUCAGAAGUACUGUUGAUUUGACUCGGGGGUCUGGGUUUUAAGGCUAUUGUGGCCUUGGUCCAUGUGGGGGUUUUGUUUUUCCCCGCGGUCGCCCCAACCGAAGACAUUUCGGCGAAGUUCAUUUUGUUCGUUUCCUUUUAGAGGGGUUUUUGACGUGGGUCGCUUUAUGUCUUAAGCUCCAUAGGGUCUUCUCGUCUUACGAGGGUAUCCCCGCUUCUGCACGGGGAGAUCAAUUUCAUUGACCUUAAAGGGGAGACAGCUAAGCCCUCGUGGUGCCUUUCAUACAGGUCUCCAUUUAAGAGACAAGUGAUUGCGCUACCUUUGCACGGUCAGAAUACCGCGGCCGUUGAACAUAUAGUCACUGGGCAGGCGGGACCUCUUAUUUGUUCGUUUUGCAAGAGGCGAUGUUUUUGGUAAACAGGCGAGGCUUGUGUUUGCCGAGUUCCUUCCCUUUGUUUAAGUCUUUCCGGGCAUGCACACCUGUGUUGGGUUAACGGUUAGUUAUGUUGAGGUUUCUUGGUAUCUGUGUAGUAUUACAUAGCCCUCGGUUGGGGGCCGUUAGUCGUCGGCGGUUGGUCCGUUCCGACUUACACGUGUGCAGAGGAGAGGAGUAGGCUCCUCUUAUUACUCAUUUUAGCAGGGUCUUUCCCAGGGUUAAUGGGAGGGUCUGAUAGUAGGUGGGGAGUGAGGAGGUUGAUUCGGUAUUAAGGGUUGGAUUUUGUAUGAGCUUUAACGCUUUCUUUGUAGGUGGCUGCUUUUAGGCCCACUAAAACAAGUUUCCUUGGGUUGAUUAUGAUCUUUAGUCUCCCGGUGAGGUUGUGUCCUUUUUCAAAGGGGCUGUACCCUCUUUGACUAACUCUCUCGGUCACACUUUGUCUUGGGAGACAUAAUGUCUUGGAUGGGGGAGCCGGGAGGCUGAACUCAUAUACACUUUUCAGACAACCAGCUAUAACUAGGCUCGAUAGGUUUGUCACCUCUACUUGAAGAUCGUCCCACUCUUUUGCAACAGAGACGGGUUUGCCCAGCAUAGGCUGUCUUGAAGUAGCUCGUCUAGUUUCGGGGUGCUGAACUAAAGUUCCCUUCGCUCAGGCAUACUGGCUAGAUCAUGAUGCAAAAGGUA